rnacentral:tRNA from 1 species
GGAGAGAUGGCUCAGAGGUUAAAAGCACUGGCUGGUCUCCCAGAGGUUCUGAGUUCAAUUCCCAGCAACUCCU